rnacentral:rRNA from 1 species
GACGAACGCUGGCGGCGUGCUUAACACAUGCAAGUCGAACGGAAAGGCCCUGCUUUUGUGGGGUGCUCGAGUGGCGAACGGGUGAGUAACGCGUGAGUAACCUGCCCUUGACUUUGGGAUAACUUCAGGAAACUGGGGCUAAUACCGGAUAGGAGCUCCUGCUGCAUGGUGGGGGUUGGAAAGUUUCGGCGGUUGGGGAUGGACUCGCGGCUUAUCAGCUUGUUGGUGGGGUAGUGGCUUACCAAGGCUUUGACGGGUAGCCGGCCUGAGAGGGUGACCGGCCACAUUGGGACUGAGAUACGGCCCAGGCUCCUACGGGAGGCAGCAGUGGGGAAUAUUGCACAAUGGGCGGAAGCCUGAUGCAGCAACGCCGCGUGCGGGAUGACGGCCUUCGGGUUGUAAACCGCUUUCGCCUGUGACGAAGCGUGAGUGACGGUAAUGGGUAAAGAAGCACCGGCUAACUACGUGCCAGCAGCCGCGGUGAUACGUAGGGUGCGAGCGUUGUCCGGAUUUAUUGGGCGUAAAGGGCUCGUAGGUGGUUGAUCGCGUCGGAAGUGUAAUCUUGGGGCUUAACCCUGAGCGUGCUUUCGAUACGGGUUGACUUGAGGAAGGUAGGGGAGAAUGGAAUUCCUGGUGGAGCGGUGGAAUGCGCAGAUAUCAGGAGGAACACCAGUGGCGAAGGCGGUUCUCUGGGCCUUUCCUGACGCUGAGGAGCGAAAGCGUGGGGAGCGAACAGGCUUAGAUACCCUGGUAGUCCACGCUGUAAACGGUGGGUACUAGGUGUGGGGUCCAUUCCACGGGUUCCGUGCCGUAGCUAACGCUUUAAGUACCCCGCCUGGGGAGUACGGCCGCAAGGCUAAAACUCAAAGGAAUUGACGGGGCCCCGCACAAGCGGCGGAGCAUGCGGAUUAAUUCGAUGCAACGCGUAGAACCUUACCUGGGUUGACAUGGAUCGGGAGCGCUCAGAGAUGGGUGUGCCUCUUUUGGGGUCGGUUCACAGGUGGUGCAUGGCUGUCGUCAGCUCGUGUCGUGAGAUGUUGGGUUAAGUCCCGCAACGAGCGCAACCCUUGUUCACUGUUGCCAGCACGUUAUGGUGGGGACUCAGUGGAGACCGCCGGGGUCAACUCGGAGGAAGGUGGGGAUGACGUCAAGUCAUCAUGCCCCUUAUGUCCAGGGCUUCACGCAUGCUACAAUGGCUGGUACAGAGAGUGGCGAGCCUGUGAGGGUGAGCGAAUCUCGGAAAGCCGGUCUCAGUUCGGAUUGGGGUCUGCAACUCGACCUCAUGAAGUCGGAGUCGCUAGUAAUCGCAGAUCAGCAACGCUGCGGUGAAUACGUUCCCGGG